AGAACCUAUGAUCUUUUUGUUAACUGAAUAUUUUAUGUACAUAUUUUUAGUAUUGGUUUAAUAUUAUUAGUUAACGCCUAUUGAGUUAUUUAUUCAAAAGAACAUGAGUAGAUACUCAUAUUCAAAAUAUCCAGAAUCCGCUUCUAAUAUUAAGUGAAAAUAUAUAGACCCAUAGCCUCUGCACUUCCUUUUUCCACAAGUUGGUUACUGUGGUGAUUUGAGCUGAGGUCUCUCAGAAAUUGCCGCUCUAUCCCUCUGGGAUAUGGGUAAGGUAUGAGUACAUUAUAUUCUUCCUAAAUCUCACUUGUGGAAUUUUUCUGGAUUGUUAUUGUUGUUGUUUAUUGGGGUGAUCAGUUUCAGCAGACUUAUAGCCUGUUUGGCCAAGUUUCUGUUUAUUUUGAGAAAUAUUUUUUUUCAAAAGUGUUUUUUUUUUUAAAAUUCUUUGGUGAGAAUCGGUUUGUGUUUGGCUAAUUAAUUUAAAAAGUACUUUUGAGCAGUAAUUAGUGUUUCGCCAAACUUUUGAAAACUGCUUCUAAUUGUAUUUUUGUCAAAAGUAUUUCUCAGAAAAGUGCUUUUGGAGAGAAGUUACAUUUUCUGCUUCUCAAAUUCUGUUUCUGCUUCUGCUUCUCCUCAAAAGCAUUUUUUUCCUUAAAAACUUGGCCAAACACCUCAAUAUUUAGCCAAAAGUACUUUCGGCAAAAAAAAAGUAUUUUUGACCCCAAAAAAAGCUUGGCCAAACAUGCUAAUAUUUCCCUAACCAACGAUCUUUUCUUGUUUAAUUCCUCUAUUUUCUUAAAUUAUUCCUAAUAAAAAUUUUGACAACGUCACAUUAUCGGGAUUAUAAUCUUACUAUAUUAAAAGUAAGAAGACCCUUAAUAAAAUAUCGUUCGCCUUUUUUAUCCUUUAAAAAAUAUAUUUUAUAUUGGAUAAAUUUAUAAAAUCAUAAAAAUUACCUAAUAUUUAGGAGUUCGAAACCAAAUAAAUUUGUUUCCAGUAUAAUUCUGUAUUGGAGAUCUUUUCCUAAUAAGUCUGCACGAAAUAUUAAGAAAAUAAAAACGAAUGCAAAAAAUUAGGGGAAACGUUUCUUUUCCAACAAGAACUCGCCCAUUUGUGUAAAUCUUUUAUUUUUUGUCCUUGUAUUUAUUCAUACCGGACCAAUUUUGCCUCUUUAAUCCUUUCAUACGAACAUUUCGUUGUUCUUAAGAUUUUAAUUAUAAGUAUUCCUUAGAAGCUUGGUUGUUUACUCCGUUUCUUUUCUACUCUUAGAAUCUACUAAGACAUGCUAGAAAGAAUAUCUACCAUUAGGUUUUUAAAAUAGUAAUUAUUGUUGAAAAAAUAGUAAUAAUCAUUAAUUUGUGAUAAAAUUUUAAUUUAUCGUUUGUUGAGGAGGAAACAUACAAGUUUGAAAUAUCAUUUAAAAUUUAAUGCAUAUUCCCGUUAAAUAGAUGGAAAAUGUCUUUGUCUUUUGGUAAAAAAGAAAUUAAUAUUUACUAAAAAUAUUUAUUACAUAAUUUUCCUAAAAAAUAGGAAUUAGCGAUAAAAUUCAUCUUGGCUUAUAGGAAUUUGGAUAAUAUGUCGUUAUCGCCACUAAAUAAAAUUAGCAAUGAAUUUUUAUUAUGUAAGUAUAAAAUUUAUUCGUCGCUAAUUCUUUUUCUUUUUAUAGUUGACGUCUCUAGAGUACAUAUAUCUAGAUGAUCAUAUUGAUACGAAACUAAAACAAAAUAACGGGAUACAUAAUAAAUCAUCCAUAUGCUUUCAAAUAUAUCUUGGUUACAUGUUAUCAUGCGUAGUUAGGCAAUCCGUUAUUUUAUUGACUAAAUAAGAUUAAUAUUUAUCAUUUUCAAGAGCUUAAAUUUUUUAUAUUUUAUUUUAUAACUCAUAUAAAUUUUAAUAAUAUCUUUAUGUAAUUUUUAUAAAUUUAUACAUUGAUAUAUAGUACAAACGCAUAGCCGCGUAUAGUAAAAUUAGCUAUUAAAAAAAUAUAUGUGACUAGUCAACUUUUGGAUCCAUGCAAGGUGCCACGUCUUUAAUCAGAACCACCACAUGGCCAAAUAUAGCGCAAUAUCCGCUUGCAAAGGGCAGAGAUUGGCCUUUCACCUUCCUAAUGAGUUGGGGAAAACAGGGGACUCGUCUUACGCAACGACUGUUGUGUAUAUUUAUCAUUUUCAUAAACAAACCAAUAUGAUGAUGUACUUGCGCAGAGAAAUUGAUGACAGCGCCGUUUUAUAAAGUUUUAGGUUGGUGUUAUCUUUUUCUUAUUAUAUAUUACUCCACAUAAACCCAACUAAUAAUGUACACAACAGAUGAUGACACCAUUUUCAUUGGGUUAUAUUUUGGUGCAGUGUUUUCUUCCAAAUGGCUUUUGGUGAAAGGACUUUAACUUUUCAGAAAUCUAAAAACGAAAAGAGAGAAAACGGAGAGAUUUUUAUUUUUACACACUUUUUUUUUUUUUUAAUAUUAUGAAGGGUUUGUAUUGGGUAAAAUAUGCUACGGCACGUGGCCAACAAAGAAGAGGAUAUGUGGAACCAAAGCCGGGAGGACAUAAAACCGGGCGCAGCUAUUCCGUGUGUCACCGAAAAAGGCAAGUUCAUAAAGGCAUUAAGCACGAUGCACCCGGUGGCAACUAAUGAAAAAUAUUUUACAGCAUUAAAAAGUAACGGCUCGUUACAAAGUUGUGAGCAUUUUUGUUUACCGUUAGGUUUUCAUUAUCGCACUUCAAUAAUUGUCACUAGUGGUGAACCCUACCAUUAUGCCCACUGAGCUAUAAAUAAUAUGCUCAAUGCCCAUUGUAAAGACAGGUUUUUAGACAUUAAAGAAUAUAUUCUAACACAACAUCUUGAUACUAUUCUUCUCUCUCGAGCUUGUUGAUUAUUGUACCCGGAGACUCUGUCCUCGGGCUCAUC
rnacentral:lncRNA from 1 species